GUUCAUAGAUACGCAUACAGGAUGUAAAAGCAAACCAGUGGUACUUCCUUCCUGCCCUGAGAUUCCAUCCGUGACUGCUUUGCAGCAGUGGAGGGUCCAACCCAGCCCCCUCUGCUGCCUGUGUAUAUGAUGUUCACUGCAGCUCUGUCCCUGCAGAUGUCUUGAGAAAUGUGCUUGCUGUAAAUUGUAUUGUACCGCUGACGUGACCGGGGCCACCCCCUCCUCCCACCCACUGCCACCAUGCAAGGACCAGAGCUCCCACCAGCCCAGGGGACACUUUUCCUAGCACAGGACUGGUGUCCUGCAGCGCCUUGCCUCUAGGGCAGCAAGUACUGCCCAAAGCCUCUCGUAUAAAACAAUUCUGGGGGAGCCAAAGAACCUUUCCUGCCCCUGGAAGGGACUUGCUGGCAGUGUCUCCAUGCUUUGGAAACGGAUCCCCUUAGAGCACGACGAGUGCUCCUGGCUGAAGCAGCAUCCCAGCUCUGUUUGCCCAGGGUAAAAUUAACAACCCAGCGCUUUCACACCUCCUUCCGAAGCACUGUAGAGGGGACAACACCUCCACCUCCUGUGGGAGCUGUGACCAGCUGCAAGCCAGCACAGCCAGAGGGCCCAGCCAAAGACCCUCCUCUGGUCCAAAGAGCAUGGCCCCCAGCUAUCCCAGCACCAUCAGCUGCUUUGUAAAUGUAGAUGUUUGACAUACUCCUGCUGCUUUUUCUUCUCACAUUCCCUUCUCUGAGCCAACCCCACUGCUACAAGAGAA
rnacentral:lncRNA from 1 species